GACGAACGCUGGCGGCGUGCUUAACACAUGCAAGUCGAACGGAGUGGCGAACGGGUGAGUAACACGUGGGUGAUCUGCCUUGCACUUCGGGAUAAGCUUGGGAAACUGGGGCUAAUACCGGAUAGUGCAAGAUGAGCUCGCGGCCUAUCAUCUUGUUGGUGGGGUAAUGGCCUACCAAGGCGUCGACGGGUGGCCGGACUGCGAGGGUGUACGGGCACAUGGGGCCUGGGGGACGGCCCAGACUCCUACGGGGGGCAGCAGUGGGGAAUAUUGCACAAUAGGCCGAAGGCGGAAGCAGCGACGCCGCGUGGGAGAGGUAUGCUGUCGGGGUGGAAACUCCUUUCGACUGGGAAGCGGUACCUGUAUAAGAAGCACCGGCUAACUACGUGCCAGCAGCCGCGGUAAUAC
rnacentral:rRNA from 1 species